rnacentral:rRNA from 1 species
CGGACGGGUGAGUAAUGUCUGGGAAACUGCCCGAUGGAGGGGGGUAACUACUGGAAACGGUAGCUAAUACCGCAUAACGUCGCAAGACCAAAGAGGGGGACCUUCGGGCCUCUUGCCAUCGGAUGUGCCCAGAUGGGAUUAGCUAGUAGGUGGGGUAAUGGCUCACCUAGGCGACGAUCCCUAGCUGGUCUGAGAGGAUGACCAGCCACACUGGAACUGAGACACGGUCCAG